UUGGUUUUGCCUUUGCUGACUGCUGAUCUGAUCGUCUCAAGUCUGGUGACCUGCUGCAGAAGAUCCUCUCUCUCUCUAUCAUUAUAAGCAAUUCUGUCUAUCCUAUCACUCUCCCGACUCUAUCUAAUUUGACAGCCAUUCUAUCUUGUAUCCCUCUAUCCCUACUGCUCUAUCUAAUUUGACAGCCAUUCUAUCUUGUAUCCCUCUCUCUACUGCUCUAUCUAAUUUGACAGCCAUUCUAUC